rnacentral:rRNA from 1 species
CACGUAGGGUGCGAGCGUUGUCCGGAUUUAUUGGGCGUAAAGCGCGCGCAGGCGGCUUCGCGCGCCCGCCGUGAAAGCCCCCGGCUUAACCGGGGAGAGUCGGUGGGGACGGCGGAGCUUGAGGGCGGGAGAGGUCGGUGGAAUUCCCGGUGUAGUGGUGAAAUGCGUAGAGAUCGGGAGGAACACCUGUGGCGAAGGCGGCCGACUGGGCCGACCCUGACGCUGAGGCGCGAAGGCGUGGGGAGCGAACGGG